GACGAACGCUGGCGGCGUGCUUAACACAUGCAAGUCGAACGGAAAGGCCCUGCUUUUGUGGGGUGCUUGAGUGGCGAACGGGUGAGUAACACGUGAGUAACCUGCCCUUGACUUUGGGAUAACUUCAGGAAACUGGGGCUAAUACCGGAUAGGAGCUCCUGCUGCAUGGUGGGGGUUGGAAAGUUUCGGCGGUUGGGGAUGGACUCGCGGCUUAUCAGCUUGUUGGUGGGGUAGUGGCUUACCAAGGCUUUGACGGGUAGCCGGCCUGAGAGGGUGACCGGCCACAUUGGGACUGAGAUACGGCCCAGACUCCUACGGGAGGCAGCAGUGGGGAAUAUUGCACAAUGGGCGGAAGCCUGAUGCAGCAACGCCGCGUGCGGGAUGACGGCCUUCGGGCUGUAAACCGCUUUCGCCUGUGACGAAGCGUGAGUGACGGUAAUGGGUAAAGAAGCACCGGCUAACUACGUG
rnacentral:rRNA from 1 species